GGGGCUAUAGCUCAAUGGUGGAGCAGGGGACUCAUAAUCCCUUGGUUCUCGGUUCGAGUCCGGGUGGCCCUACCA
rnacentral:tRNA from 1 species